GAUGAAGAACGUAGCGAAAUGCGAUAAGUAAUGUGAAUUGCAGAAUUCAGUGAAUCAUCGAAUCUUUGAACGCACAUUGCGCCCCCUGGUAUUCCGGGGGGCAUGCCUGUUCGAGCGUCAUUUCACCACUCAAGCCUCGCUUGGUAUUGGGCAUCGCGGUCCGCCGCGUGCCUCAAAUCGACCGGCUGGGUCUUCUGUCCCCUAAGCGUUGUGGAAACUAUUCGCUAAAGGGUGUUCGGGAAGCUACGCCGUAAAACAACCCCAUUUCUAAGGUUGACCUCGGAUCAGGUAGGGAUACCCGCUGAACUUAAGAAUAUCAAUAAGCGGAGGA
rnacentral:misc_RNA from 1 species